rfam:Triticum aestivum genome assembly, contig: Triticum_aestivum_CS42_TGACv1_scaffold_002397_1AL
UCAUAAUGCGUGGGUCAACAGAUUCGCUGACCUGGAACACUGAAUGUGUAUGACAAGCAUGAAGCACUCAGAAGCCUCAGUGAAAUCCAACCAAGAACCUUGGUUAAUGGUUUCGAUGAAAACAAACUUUAUGGAACCAAGUGAUGGUGAACUGUGCUUGGGUGGGCAGAAGCUGGAGGAAGCUCUCAUGGAUGCUAAAAACGAUACUGCAAUACUAGUAUGUAAAUCAUUCGUCUGACUUUUGCUGUAAGGGUGAAAUACUGAUCGGGUCAUACUAGGUGCCCCCCUAAAUUUUUUCCCUAAGAACCACUGUUGUCAGUUCAAGUUUUACCAAGCAAAGUAAAUAAUUAGAGGCACUAAUGGUCCACCGUUUAUUCUAUAACUGUAUAUAAUUAAGACAGUUUGGUUGCCUUGAUGUGCCUGCAUGUUGGAGUUUAUAGCUGCAAAUAUGGCAUUUUUGGUAGGCACAAAUUGUGUGGGAUGAACCAAAAGCUGGAUUAUGCUACAAAGCUAUGUUGCACCGGCACUUCACAAACAUGUCGUAUUCUGCAGGCAUAUGCGGGUCACAUCAGAU